AGAAUUUGAUCUUGGUUCGAGGACGAACGCUGGCGGCGUGCCUAAUACAUGCAAGUCGAGCGCAGGAAGCAGACUGAAUCCUUCGGGAGGACGGUCUGUGGAAUGAGCGGCGGAUGGGUGAGUAUCACGUGGGUAACCUGCCUGUAAGCUUGGGAUAACUCCGGGAAACCGGUGCUAAUACCAAAUAAUAUUUCUGUUCGCAUGAACGGAAAAUAAAAGGCGGCUUUUGCUGUCACUUACAGAUGGACCCGCGUCGCAUUAGCUAGUUGGUGGGGUAAAGGCUCACCAAAGCAACGAUGCGUAGCCGACCUGAGAGGGUGAUCGGCCACACUGGGACUGAGACACGGCCCAGACUCCUACGGGAGGCAGCAGUAGGGAAUCUUCCGCAAUGGACGAAAGUCUGACGGAAGCAACGCCGCGUGAGUGAUGAAGGUUUUCGGAUCGUAAAACUCUGUUGUUAGGGAAGAAUAAGUACUAACCGAAUAAGUUGGUACCCUGACGGUACCUAACCAGAAAGCCCCGGCUAACUACGUGCCAGCCGCCGC
rnacentral:rRNA from 1 species